GCCUCGUGUAGGCCUCUGUGAAGCCUGAACUCCAGUAGGGCCCAAGCCAGCCAGGAAGGAGGAGGCAGCCAGAGUGGCCACCACUGUUCUCUGCAGCAGAAGACCCCUUGCUGCCAGAAACAUCGCAGGCUUCAGAUGGAAGAUUACAUGAUUGAAUGCUCCUCCGUUUUAAAAACAUCUAUACAUGGUGAAAACACAAUUGAAUUCUCCUCAGUAGUUUGUUUUUUAAAUCUAUAAAUAGUGAGGACAUUAUAACCUAAACAUUGCCUCGCUGGAUCAAGCCAAGUUCAUCUGGUCCAACAUCCCACAACUUCUGGUGAAACACAUAGAGCAUGAAGAGGUGAUGACUAUUCCACAGUGACUGUUUCCAUGGACUUCUCUGAAGAUACAAUGAAACCUGUUAUGUUUUCUUAAAUUUCUGUUCCAUGUGUGACAAAAAGUUGGCAUCCAAACAUCUCUGUUGCAGCACUAGCAUUUUUAAUGUUAUGGUAGUUCAGCUUUUCUGCUCUUGGAUCUGUCUUGGCCUAUUUGACCAGAACGCCACCAACUAAUCCUUCAACAAGGUGUAUCACAGCCAAGCCCACUCUGCAAGUUGAACCCAAGCAACAAUUACAGCAUUUUCCCACUGCCUGCUCUCCUCCAUGGGGCUAAUAUUGCAUGAACUUGCACAACUUCUGAGGUUGUGAUCUUGCAGAGAACCAUAUCCACUCAAGGAAUAACAUCCUUAGGAAAACUUUAAGAAGGAAGGACCCAGAAUAUUCUGGUGACUGAAAAAAAAAAAUUGGGGGGGAGGGGGACCACCAUUGAAUAAACUUGUUUUUCUUAACUGUCACUAAUUCAAUAUAUUUAUUUAGGUCUUUGACUAGCAUAGGAUAAAACAUGACAGUAGUGUCAAAAACAGUCUACAUCUGUGGAGAUAGCAACUGUAAAGUUAAAAUCUUGUUGCUAUCAAAUUAAGAUCUAUGGAAUGUUGUAAAAUCAAUUAAAAUAUGCUAAAAUAAAUGCAUAGAGGCUAAGAAGUUAAAAACAAUGAACAUAAAACUAAAAUCUAUCAGAGGUAAUAAAAAGUUGAGA